rnacentral:rRNA from 1 species
GCUAGGAUGAACGCUGGCGGCGUGCCUAACACAUGCAAGUCGAGCGGAGAUAAGUGAAGCCUAGCGAUCUAUCUAGCGGCGGAUGGGUGAGUAACACGUGGGUAACCUGCCCUGUACUGGGGAAUAACAGCUGGAAACGGCUGUUAAUGCCGCAUAUGCGCACGGAGCCGCAUGACUCUGGGCGGAAAGAUUUAUCGGUACAGGAUGGGCCCGCGCCGGAUUAACUAGUUGGCGGGGUAACGGCCCACCAAGGUGAUGAUCCGUAGCCGACCUGAGAGGGUGACCGGCCACAUUGGGACUGAGACACGGCCCAAACUCCUACGGGAGGCAGCAGUGGGGGAUAUUGCACAAUGGGGGAAACCCUGAUGCAGCGACGCCGCGUGAAGGAUGACGUAUUUCGGUAUGUAAACUUCUAUCAGCGGGGAAGAAGAUGACGGUACCCGACUAAGAAGCCCGGCUAACUACGUGCCAGCCGCAGC